GGGAGAGCAAGGUGCAGAAUGGGUUCGAGUCCCAUCUUGAACGAGGUCGUUAGCAAGAGUUCGAGUCUCUUGUCUCCCACCA
rnacentral:tRNA from 1 species